rnacentral:rRNA from 1 species
UGGCUUCGGCUGUCACUUUAGGAUGGACCCGCGGCGUAUUAGCUUGUUGGUAAGGUAACGGCCUACCAAGGCAAUGAUACGUAGCCGACCUGAGAGGGUAAUCGGCCACAUUGGGACUGAGACACGGCCCAAACUCCUACGGGAGGCAGCAGUAGGGAAUCUUCCACAAUGGACGAAAGUCUGAUGGAGCAACGCCGCGUGAGUGAUGAAGGGUUUCGGCUCGUAAAACUCUGUUGUUGGAGAAGAACAGGUGUGAGAGUAACUGUUCACAUCUUGACGGUAUCCAACCAGAAAGCCACGGCUAACUACGUGCCAGCAGCCGCGGUAAUACGUAGGUGGCAAGCGUUGUCCGGAUUUAUUGGGCGUAAAGCGAGCGCAGGCGGUUUCUUAGGUCUGAUGUGAAAGCCUUCGGCUUAACCGGAGAAGUGCAUCGGAAACCAGGAGACUUGAGUGCAGAAGAGGACAGUGGAACUCCAUGUGUAGCGGUGAAAUGCGUAGAUAUAUGGAAGAACACCAGUGGCGAAGGCGGCUGUCUGGUCUGUAACUGACGCUGAGGCUCGAAAGCAUGGG